rnacentral:rRNA from 1 species
UGCAGUCGAGGGGUAUAGUUCUCGCGGAGCUAGAGACCGGCGCACGGGUGCGUAACGCGUAUGCAAUCUACCUUUCACAGAGGGAUAGCCCAGAGAAAUUUGGAUUAAUACCUCAUAGUAUUAUGGAGUGGCAUCACUUUAUAAUUAAAGUCACAACGGUGAAAGAUGAGCAUGCGUCCCAUUAGCUAGUUGGUAAGGUAACGGCUUACCAAGGCAACGAUGGGUAGGGGUCCUGAGAGGGAGAUCCCCCACACUGGUACUGAGACACGGACCAGACUCCUACGGGAGGCAGCAGUGAGGAAUAUUGGUCAAUGGACGCAAGUCUGAACCAGCCAUGCCGCGUGCAGGAUGACGGUCCUAUGGAUUGUAAACUGCUUUUGUACGAGAAGAAACACUCCUACGUGUAGGAGCUUGACGGUAUCGUAAGAAUAAGGAUCGGCUAACUCCGUGCCAGCAGCCGCGGUAAUACGGAGGAUCCAAGCGUUAUCCGGAAUCAUUGGGUUUAAAGGGUCCGUAGGCGGUUUAGUAAGUCAGUGGUGAAAGCCCAUCGCUCAACGGUGGAACGGCCAUUGAUACUGCUGAACUUGAAUUAUUAGGAAGUAACUAGAAUAUGUAGUGUAGCGGUGAAAUGCUUAGAGAUUACAUGGAAUACCAAUUGCGAAGGCAGGUUACUACUAAUUGAUUGACGCUGAUGGACGAAAGCGUGGGUAGCGAACAGGAUUAGAUACCCUGGUAGUCCACGCCGUAAACGAUGGAUACUAGCUGUUGGGGGCAACUUCAGUGGCUAAGCGAAAGUGAUAAGUAUCCCACCUGGGGAGUACGUUCGCAAGAAUGAAACUCAAAGGAAUUGACGGGGGCCCGCACAAGCGGUGGAGCAUGUGGUUUAAUUCGAUGAUACGCGAGGAACCUUACCAAGGCUUAAAUGUAGAUUGACCGGUUUGGAAACAGAUCUUUCGCAAGACAAUUUACAAGGUGCUGCAUGGUUGUCGUCAGCUCGUGC